UACGAAGGGGGCUAGCGUUGUUCGGAUUUACUGGGCGUAAAGCGCACGUAGGCGGAUCGAUCAGUCAGGGGUGAAAUCCCAGGGCUCAACCCUGGAACUGCCUUUGAUACUGUCGAUCUGGAGUAUGGAAGAGGUGAGUGGAAUUCCGAGUGUAGAGGUGAAAUUCGUAGAUAUUCGGAGGAACACCAGUGGCGAAGGCGGCUCACUGGUCCAUUACUGACGCUGAGGUGCGAAAGCG
rnacentral:rRNA from 1 species